rnacentral:rRNA from 1 species
GAUGAACGCUGGCGGCGUGCCUAAUACAUGCAAGUCGAGCGAACGGACGAGAAGCUUGCUUCUCUGAUGUUAGCGGCGGACGGGUGAGUAACACGUGGAUAACCUACCUAUAAGACUGGGAUAACUUCGGGAAACCGGAGCUAAUACCGGAUGAUAUUCUGAACCGUAUGGUUCAAAAGUGAAAGACGGUCUUGCUGUCACUUAUAGAUGGAUCCGCGCUGCAUUAGCUAGUUGGUAAGGUAACGGCUUACCAAGGCAACGAUGCAUAGCCGACCUGAGAGGGUGAUCGGCCACACUGGAACUGGGACACGGUCCAGACUCCUACGGGAGGCAGCAGUAGGGAAUCUUCCGCAAUGGGCGGAAGCCUGACGGAGCAACGCCGCGUGAGUGAUGAAGGUCUUCGGAUCGUAAAACUCUGUUAUUAGGGAAGAACAUAUGUGUAAGUAACUGUGCACAUCUUGACGGUACCUAAUCAAAAAGCCACGGCUAACUACGUG